CCUACGGGGGGCAGCAGUGAGGAAUAUUGGUCAAUGGACGAGAGUCUGAACCAGCCAAGUAGCGUGAAGGAUGACUGCCCUAUGGGUUGUAAACUUCUUUUAUAUGGGAAUAAAAUGUUCCACGUGUGGGAUUUUGUAUGUACCAUAUGAAUAAGGAUCGGCUAACUCCGUGCCAGCAGCCGCGGUAAUACGGAGGAUCCGAGCGUUAUCCGGAUUUAUUGGGUUUAAAGGGCGCGUAGGUGGAUUUUUAAGUCAGUUGUGAAAGUUUGCGGCUCAACCGUAAAAUUGCAGUUGAAACUGGCAGUCUUGAGUACAGUAGAGGUGGGCGGAAUUCGUGGUGUAGCGGUGAAAUGCUUAGAUAUCACGAAGAACUCCGAUUGCGAAGGCAGCUCACUGGACUGAAACUGACACUGAGGCUCGAAAGUGUGGGUAGCAAACAGGAUUAGAUACCCUGGUAGUC
rnacentral:rRNA from 1 species